rnacentral:rRNA from 1 species
CUCCAGACUCCUACGGGAGGCAGCAGUGGGGAAUAUUGCACAAUGGGGGAAACCCUGAUGCAGCGACGCCGCGUGAGCGAUGAAGUAUUUCGGUAUGUAAAGCUCUAUCAGCAGGGAAGAAAAUGACGGUACCUGACUAAGAAGCCCCGGCUAACUACGUGCCAGCAGCCGCGGUAAUACGUAGGGGGCAAGCGUUAUCCGGAUUUACUGGGUGUAAAGGGAGCGUAGACGGCUGUGCAAGCCAGAUGUGAAAGCCCGGGGCUCAACCCCGGGACUGCAUUUGGAACUGUGUGGCUGGAGUGUCGGAGAGGCAGGCGGAAUUCCUAGUGUAGCGGUGAAAUGCGUAGAUAUUAGGAGGAACACCAGUGGCGAAGGCGGCCUGCUGGACGAUGACUGACGUUGAGGCUCGAAAGCGUGGGGAGCAAACAGGAUUAGAUACCCUAGUAA